CUUCACAGAGAGCUGAAACUGACUUUUAAAAAUCUAUUAAGAUUUCCGGGUUUCCUGAAUCCCGGGCUCUCCGAGCACUCCCCCAAUAUUUGUGGUGCUUGGAGGGAAAAUCUGGCAACUGGAAGGCUGGAGAAAAAGACUGAUUACAGCUGGAGGUACGCGGCAAUGCCAAGCAGCGAUGUCUUCCCCAGCAGCAGAAGCAAGACAAGAUGAGUACUUUUGGAAAUCAACCCCUAAGGCAGCUGAGCUGGAAUUCCCUUACCCUAGUUCCCAGAUACAGGGAAGAGUCUCAAGCAAGCUAGCAAGGGUGGACUGGAGGUGGGACCGGAAACAAGCCAGGCUCCCAAAGCCCCAGAUGGAAUCCCUAGGGAGUGCAAUAGAGCAACAGAGGGAGGAUCCUGACCAGGCCACCCUUGCUGAUGAGGGGCCAUCAUGCCACCCAAAAGAGAGGGGAGGGGCAUCUGAUCCUGUUGAGGGUAGAAGAUGCAUACUGGAGCACAGCCCCCGCCCCUUUGAUAGAAGGAGAAGGAGCCCAAAAUGGCAAUCAGUGCCUCGCCCACAUAUCAGGCAGGCUGCCAAGAGCAGGCAACUCCUUCCUUCUCUCCGAACUAAGGGUGAAGAAGAUGGCCAGACAUAUCAGACGCAAGCAUACAGAGGCCAACACGAGUUUGGAGGAGUAGGGCUGAAUGACCCGCCCCAAUUCAGGGGAAAGUUUGACGGAGACUCAGAUCAGCUAGCCCUAUUCCUUGAUUCAGCUGAUACCCACCUAGAAUGCUUUGGGUACUUCUACCCAUCCCCCAGAACCAUGGUGAAUGCCAUUGCAGAGGGUCUAGAGGGAGAAGCAAGGGAAUGGCUAGUAGCCCUCCACAAGAGGAGAGCCCCCCCCCCAACUGCAAGACAUAGAUGACUUCCUGCAACUGCUAGAGGCCAGGUUUGAGGAGGGGGAGGAUCCAUAUGCGGAAGAGGAACUCAGCAAACUAAAGCAGAGGGGCCGCCCUAUCAAAGAGUACAUCCGUGAAUUUAGGAGGAUCAUAGGAAAGCUAUCCUGUUUAUCAGAGCGACUGCUGGUGCAUUUCUUCAGAACAAGUCUGGACAAGCAAAUUGCCCAGGUAACCGCAUACCGCGACAUCCCAAAUCAACUCUCUGAGUGGCUCCGGGUAGCAAUAAAAGUCGACAGCAGGCUGUGUGCCAACGACAUGAGAAAGCAACUGGCCACAAAAGAGAGAGGUCAACCUGGAGUUCAGAUGUCAUUAAGUGGGAUUUAGUUUCAGCUCCACAGAAGUCCAUGUCAAGAUGUUAGUCCUAAUAAAUGAAUGUUUUUUUUUUAACCUUGUCUCGAGGCUCAUAAAUUAAUUAGGCUAACUCUUGGAAACUUCACAAUCUGAAGCUGCCAGCUAUGUUAUAGUUUAUCUUUCCCAACAGUAUUAAAGAGGUCAAUGGUCUGACGGUAUGUGAUGGCCCUGUCAAACCCCAGUUCAGAGAAGGAGUUGGAACCAAGACCAUCUGAUAAGAAUGGCAUGGAGAGUCCAGAGGCUGAGGACAAUGCAGUCCCAGGCCACCAUGGAGGGACAACUGGAUGUGGAGCUGCCUGCUGGAAAGGAUCAGCUGCAGAAGGCCAGUGGUGACAACAGGCUACAGAUUGCCACAAUGAAGAACAGCUGCUACCCUUGCCCGAUCCAUGGAGAGCGGAGCAGAGGGAGGCACAAAGGAGGUUGGUGAGAUUGCUCAUGAGCAAGCAGUCCUACCACUCAUCACAAGGAAUACCUGGGAUAGGUUGAUUUAGCCAGACACUGAGAAAUAUGUGUUUGUCAAGAACACCUCUUUGCUUUGUACCUUCCCAGCUUUCAUGGACCCUGCCUCAUGAAUCUUGGAUCAUGUUUCUUGGGUCUGGAUUUCAGACUUCAUUUGUGGAUCUUGUACUUGGCUCUCUGAUUUCAGACUCUUGGAUCAUACUUUGGUUUUUGGAACCAUGGAGUUGUGUUGCAGACUUCGUACCUGUGGGUAUUGUGACUUUCCUCUUUUCCUUGUGGGUCGGCUAGGACCUAGUUCAUGGAACUGGGGAAUUUGGUCUAGGAAAAACUAUGGUCUGAGAUAGAGAUUCAAUGGUGGGUCGUUUGGUACUGUGUUACAUGUGCAAGAAAUAGACAUGAAAAAAAUAAAGGAAGGACCAGCAGAGAGCUUGAACGCAUGGCUGUCAGUUCCUGGAUUGUAAAGGCAUUUCUGACAACUGAGGGAGCCCUGUUGCCCUGUUCAUGAAUGGGCUUGAAGUCUCCAGAAAGGAUAAUACCUGAAAACCACCAUUGAGAUUCAAUUCUCAAUUCACCAUUGAAUUGAAUCUUCAAUUCACCAUUGAGAUUCAAUGUGGAAGGAAAAGCCAAGAAAAGAAAAAAUAGAGUUCAAAAAUGAGCCAGAUCUGCAGAGAAAAAUAAAUCAGGACAUUUUCCUACAAUUCACCCCUAUUGGAGAAACAGCAAGACUCAGGAUGCUGCCAACUGCUCCAUUCUUAAGUGCCUUCUUCAAUCUCAUGAUCCAGGGCAAAACUGCUUUUAAGUGCUGGACAAGAACUCCAGAUGCCGACUCUGCAAACUUUCCCUACCAUUUUGGUAUAUAAUAUAUUUAUAUAUUAGCCAGAUUUGUUUAAUUCUUAGUUUUCUUAGCAAGUGGCUAGUAAGGCAACACAUGAAUAUUCUGAAAAUAUUUACUUGAAAAGACCAUGUUUGUUUCUGUAAGCAUUGGAAAUAAGUCAAUUUUUAUUUUAUAUUCAUGAACGUAAUCCCUUUUAUAUAAUUACUUUUUAACUGCAUGAUAAGACAUUGUUUUGAUCAAAUAGGCCUUUUCUUUAGCCCAAAGUAUUGCAAUUACCAUGGGAGGUGAAGUUCAGAACGGUUCAUUCCAGAAGUUUCAGGAAAAAAGUUCAUUAAGUAGCCUUAGCUAUUUAAUUUAAUUUCUAACAUGAAUGCUUAGAAUUUCAAGGGAGCAAUCUGAUCCUAUGGAUUAACUGUAGACUGAGCAACAUGAGCAUUUACUUGUGUUGUUUAGGUUGAACUCCACUACAGUAUGCCAAACAACAAUGAACACGCCAAUCGCUUUUCUUCCUAUCGCCAAGUUUUUAAAACACCGUAUCUAUAUGUUUUAUCUAAUGCAAUGGAGUAUUUCAUCACUUAUGGCCGGACAGAUUAGGAAAUGAACCAAUUUCUUGGCAAUAUAGGGGCCCUUGUCUGGCAUAAACCCUGCACUGCACAGACAUAGUGUACUCAAUAAAAUUGACACAUAAAUAUUGCUUUCAACAGAACAUUAAGUCUCACACAUCGAAGUGUUCUGUGUGUUCUUUUAAGGCACGAGGAAUGUGCUACAUUUGGAUAGGGUUCAGAGAGAUAAGAGAAAGUCACCAUGGUGUUUUUUUUUCCUUCGAAGCCUUCUUCGACUUCUCGGGAACUCUUGUCUGUCUGUCAAUACCAAUGCCAUUUUGGGGAUCACCUAAAAAAUUAGACGUCAAGAGGAAGAAUUCUUCUACCAGACAAAUGCUUUUUUUGGUGUGUGUGUUUCAUUUUUUUAAAAAAAUUCUUAUUGCAAUAAAAGUUAGAUUCUAUGUGACUGAGGAAAAACCCUUUCAGGUCAAAGGCUGAUAUAAUUCCUUGGAUAUCUGGCAGAACAUAUGACAAGCUUUCAUUUUCCCGUGAAUGAAGGCAAAUAUAUAUGUCCCUGUGGAUCCAAUCUGGAUCGGUCACUGGGACUGGAUUCACAUGUCUUCUGAGCUUUUGGAAGACUAGAUGUUCACCACCAGCUUAUCAAAUAUUUAGGAGGCAAGGGCUUGGCAGCACAAGGAAACAACAACAACUUAAUAAUUGACCAUCAACACCCCAAUCAACAUCUGAAAAGCCACACACAACUAGGCACUAUAUAAACAUCACAUAUAGAAUAGCACAAAGCACAUAUUCUGCUAGAGAGAAGUUCCUUGAGGAUGGGCUCCAGCAUGAGUCCAAAAGUUCAGAAGACUAAAUCUCUGAUCCCAGUGACCCACCCAGAUUGGAUCCUGUUUCAUUUUCCCACUAUCAGUCAAGAAAUGACACUUACAGUCCAGAUCCCUACAGUAAUCCAACAAAAGAUAUGUUUGAAAAAAGGAUUUUGCGUGUAAUAAAAGGGUGUUGUCUCAUCAACAUUGCUUAUUUUGGAGAAAGAACAAAUUAUAAUUAUACUUGCAAUGUGUGUUUAAUGAUACGGCUCAGGGUGAGUUUUGUUGACUUAUGGUGAGAAUAGCAUACAGUGACAAUGCUUUCUGAAUUCUGCUAAUGUUUUUUCCCAACAUUUUGUAGAGGCAUUUCCCCCCCCCCAAAAAAAAAUCAGUAUAAUCAUUUCAGGACUUGUAAUUGGUGAGCAUACAUACACACACACACACACACACACACACACACACACACACACACACAUGUAUAUCAAAUACGUGUGACCGUCCUGGCAUUUCAUCCGCCAUAGAAAUUAAAGUGAAAAACAAAUAACAUAUAUAUUACUUUCACAGUGCUAGUCUUGUAGCAACUGGACAUUUUAAAUACUUUUAUUUAGUUUAUAUGGUCAGCCAUCUCACUCUGGAUGGCUUGCAAGGUAAAAAAACAAAACCAAACCUAAAACAAGGAAUCAAGGUAAUUCCUGUUUAGUUCAAUUUGGAGAAAGAUUAGGUGAUUAAUCUUUCUCCAGAUCAAACUUAAUAGGAAUUUCACCUUUCAAACCAAACCAAACUAAGAAUGUGUCCCCAUAAAGAGCUGGAACUGGAGUGAUAACAUUUAAUAAUUAGGUAACUUGUUAAGGACAUAAUGGAACCAGUAAAGAAAGGAUGUGAUUGUUGCUAUUUCUGAUAUGGAAAUUUCCCUCAAUGAGGCCAAUUCACUAUCACAUUUAUGCCAACAUGGAAAUCAUAGCAGCCUGUAGCUUCUACACCAGCACUUAUUAGCUAAGACAGAUGGAUUCUAAAGGAAGAUUUGGUGAUCCAGCCUUUGCAGAAGAAAAUCAAGACCAAAACAUGGUAAAAAUGGGUUCUUACUACAUCUCGAUUUACUUUCAUUCCAGAAAUGAAUUUCAGCCCACUCAGUAAACAGAAUGAUGUAGACUCAAUGGCAAAAGCCACAUAGAGUUGCCUUGAACCAUGAGAUGGGCAGCAUAUGAAUUUAAUAAGCUAACAAACAAACAAAUAAACAGGGGUUUAGUGAAAAGAAUCAGAAGAAAAGUUUGAGGAAACAGAGCAGUUAGAAAGUGGAAAAGAAGAAAAAAAAUCACAGGCAUGUCAAACAAUUAAUCUGCAUAUGAAGGCAAUUGAUCAAUCGAUCGAUAAAAUAUUCCAAAGUAAAAACCACACCCACCAAAAUAAACCCCCACUAUUCAAUAUGUUGCCUUUGGUAACAUAACAUUAAUACCAUUAAUAUGGACUUUUCUGACUCACUUUGAGUCAUUGAAUGUUUAAGAUAAAG